rnacentral:piRNA from 1 species
UACACACUGGGAUCGGCUUCAGCCUGGUGUU